rnacentral:rRNA from 1 species
UACAGGGGGGGCAAGCGUUGUUCGGAAUUACUGGGCGUAAAGGGCUCGUAGGUGGCCAACUAAGUCAGACGUGAAAUCCCUCGGCUUAACCGGGGAACUGCGUCUGAUACUGGAUGGCUUGAGAUUGGGAGAGGGAUGCGGAAUUCCAGGUGUAGCGGUGAAAUGCGUAGAUAUCUGGAGGAACACCGGUGGCGAAGGCGGCAUCCUGGACCAACACUGACGCUGAGGAGCGAAAGCCAGGGGAGCAAACGGG